AACAAAUCGAAUUGGUCAAAGGACAUAAUUCUGUUAAGGACAAUCAAAUGGCUCAGUCGGCAGAAGAUGGAAUAAUGUUAAAGGAAGCAAUAAUAUGUCAAACAAAACAAACAACCGGUGAGAAAGAAAAGUACCACAAGCAAAAGCAGUGACUGAGAUAAUAAUUGAGCAACAAAAGCAACAGUAAUGAAUUUAAGCAGCAGAAAUAAUGAAUUUAAUUGUUGCAAAAUUAUGUCGCAAGCUUAAGGCAGAUAUUAAACGCCUAAAAUCAUAUUUUUAAUCAAGUCGACAGGCUGAACAAGAACUACGAUCUCAAAACACUUUAUUAAAUGGUGAACAACAAGCAUAAGAUUAUACAGGUUAGUCGCGGCUCGACAACAGGACAAACAGACAAUGUCGUUUAGCUUCCGAAAGAAGAGCUCGACAUACUGCUGAGGAAGCCCGCUCUCUCUCUCUCUCUCUCUCUCAUUCGACAAGAGUGUACAGAUGCAUGUAAGUUCCGUAGAGCCUACAUAGAGUUGGAUCUCAAAAGCUUUUUCUUUUCAAUUUCUUGUUUACGAGAAAGAAACUGCUUGUUAUACAGAAAAUCAUAGUGAAUCAGAAAUCAUAUUUGGGACACUUAAUAUGCUACAAAACAAAAAUACUCAUUGGGAAAAAAGUUUGACUGCGGAUACUCAUAUCAAACUGGAUCUGUUUUCGGCUCUUGGUGAAGCUAAACGCCUAAUCCAAUCGAAAUUAAAGGAGAUCGAUGUUUUAAAGACUAGAAUAUCACAAGACUUAGCUAUAAGCCUGCAAGACACAUUUGGUCUUGCAGCUCCAUCAUGUUCUACGUCAAAGCCAUUCUUAUCUGUACGCAUAAAGUGUGAAUAAAAAUGAAAUUCAUUAAAAUAGAAUUGCUCGGGAUACAUAUACUUCCAUGUGACAUAAUGAGGAUUGUAGUUGUACUAUGAAGUAAAACCAUACCAAGACAAGAUUAAGAAAUUCACUUUUAUACAAUUCACAUUUAAACAAUGU
rnacentral:lncRNA from 1 species